GACGAACGCUGGCGGCGUGCUUAACACAUGCAAGUCGAACGGUAAGGCUCCAGCUUGCUGGGGUACACGAGUGGCGAACGGGUGAGUAACACGUGGGUGACCUGCCCUGCACUUCGGGAUAAGCCUGGGAAACUGGGUCUAAUACCGGAUAGGACCGCACCGUGAGGGUGUGGUGGAAAGUUUUUUCGGUGUGGGAUGGGCCCGCGGCCUAUCAGCUUGUUGGUGGGGUAAUGGCCUACCAAGGCGGCGACGGGUAGCCGGCCUGAGAGGGUGGACGGCCACAUUGGGACUGAGACACGGCCCAGACUCCUACGGGAGGCAGCAGUGGGGAAUAUUGCACAAUGGGCGGAAGCCUGAUGCAGCGACGCCGCGUGGGGGAUGACGGCCUUCGGGUUGUAAACUCCUUUUCACCAUCGACGAAGGGUUUCUGACGGUAGAUGGAGAAGAAGCACCGGCUAACUACGUG
rnacentral:rRNA from 1 species